rnacentral:rRNA from 1 species
UACGAAGGGGGCUAGCGUUGUUCGGAAUCACUGGGCGUAAAGCGCAUGUAGGCGGGUCUUUAAGUCCGGGGUGAAAUGCCAAGGCUCAACCUUGGAACUGCCUUUGAUACUGGAGACCUUGAGUCCGGGAGAGGUGAGUGGAACUGCGAGUGUAGAGGUGAAAUUCGUAGAUAUUCGCAAGAACACCAGUGGCGAAGGCGGCUCACCGGCCCGGUACUGACGCUGAGAUGCGAAAGCUAGGGGAGCGAACGGG